rnacentral:rRNA from 1 species
UGGGGAAUUUUCCACAAUGGGCGAAAGCCUGAUGGAGCAACGCCGCGUGUGUGAUGAAGGUCUUCGGAUCGUAAAGCACUUUCGACCGGGACGAAAAACCUCUGGCUAACAUCCAGGGGCCUGACGGUACCGGGAGAAGAAGCACCGGCUAACUCUGUGCCAGCAGCCGCGGUAAUACAGAGGGUGCAAGCGUUGUUCGGAAUUAUUGGGCGUAAAGCGCGUGUAGGCGGCUUGGCAAGUCAGAUGUGAAAGCCCAUGGCUUAACCAUGGAAGUGCGUCUGAAACUGCUGAGCUUGAGUGCCGGAGAGGAUGGCGGAAUUCCGCAAGUAGAGGUGAAAUUCGUAGAUAUGCGGAGGAACACCGGUGGCGAAGGCGGCCAUCUGGACGGCAACUGACGCUGAGACGCGAAAGCGUGGGGAGCAAACA